rnacentral:rRNA from 1 species
UACGAGGGGGGCAAGCGUUGUUCGGAAUUAUUGGGCGUAAAGGGUGCGUAGGCGGGGCUUUAAGUCAGGGGUGAAAUCCUGGAGCUCAACUCCAGAACUGCCUUUGAUACUGAGGAUCUUGAGUUCGGGAGAGGUGAGUGGAACUGCGAGUGUAGAGGUGAAAUUCGUAGAUAUUCGCAAGAACACCAGUGGCGAAGGCGGCUCACUGGCCCGAUACUGACGCUGAGGCACGAAAGCGUGGGGAGCAAACAGG